rnacentral:rRNA from 1 species
GACGAACGCUGGCGGCGUGCCUAAUACAUGCAAGUAGAACGCACAGUUUAUACCGUAGCUUGCUACACCAUAGACUGUGAGUUGCGAACGGGUGAGUAACGCGUAGGUAACCUGCCUGGUAGCGGGGGAUAACUAUUGGAAACGAUAGCUAAUACCGCAUAAUAUUAAUUAUUGCAUGAUAAUUAAUUGAAAGGUGCAAUUGCACCACUACCAGAUGGACCUGCGUUGUAUUAGCUAGUAGGUGAGGUAACGGCUCACCUAGGCGACGAUACAUAGCCGACCUGAGAGGGUGAUCGGCCACACUGGGACUGAGACACGGCCCAGACUCCUACGGGAGGCAGCAGUAGGGAAUCUUCGGCAAUGGACGAAAGUCUGACCGAGCAACGCCGCGUGAGCGAAGAAGGUUUUCGGAUCGUAAAGCUCUGUUGUAAGAGAAGAACGGGUGUGAGAGUGGAAAGUUCACACUGGACG